UAGCUUACCUACGUAAUUGGCAACAAAUUUACUAAUGUAAAUGUACUUAUAGGAGUGUUUACAUCAAUUUUAUCGUAAGUUAGUCAUGUAAGCUACUUUCGUGAGUAAAACUUACAGUAUUCAUGGUCGUACG